GCCGGAGUAGCUCAGCUGGUAGAGCACUCGCCUUGUAAGCGAGCGGCCGAGGGUUCGAGUCCCUCCUCCGGCU
rnacentral:tRNA from 1 species